rnacentral:rRNA from 1 species
UACGAAGGGGGCUAGCGUUGCUCGGAAUCACUGGGCGUAAAGGGUGCGUAGGCGGGUCUUUAAGUCAGAGGUGAAAUCCUGGAGCUCAACUCCAGAACUGCCUUUGAUACUGAGGAUCUUGAGUUCGGGAGAGGUGAGUGGAACUGCGAGUGUAGAGGUGAAAUUCGUAGAUAUUCGCAAGAACACCAGUGGCGAAGGCGGCUCACUGGCCCGAUACUGACGCUGAGGCACGAAAGCGUGGGGAUCAAACAGG